AGGAUGAAAUGGUAACCCAGUAGCCCAAAAGACAAAGUCCUUCUCAACAAAGCCUAACCAACAGGCAAUGGAUUAUAGUGAUUCAGAGGAAAGAUAAGAAGGGCCAUGUCGAUGAUGUUCAGAGCGUCAUGGUAAUGCUUCUGUGCUGACAGCAGGAGGGCAAGGAGGUGCAGGGAGUUGGCAUCGUCACCUUGAAGCUGAAGAGCUUGGCGGACAUACCCCAGAGCCUCUGGGAUCUGGUUUAAAACAAAACCAAAAAAGGUUUUACAUACACACAUGCACACGCACACACACACACACACACACACGCGCGAAAGAAGCCAUCUUUUCAAUGUCUGCUUCUCUUCAAAUAUUGAGUUGUUUCACAUUGUGCCUCAUUCACAUUUUAAGCCAAAUCUUUAUGGCAGCCCCAGGAUAUUAACCACAAACAUGAAAGCAGAAGCCACCUUCAAAAGACAUUCUGACUGAUAGAGUGAUACAGGAGACCCUGUUUCUCUACGUAGCUGCCAAUACUGCUCCAAGUCUUUCCCUUCUCCCUGAGUAAACACUUUCUCAUUCUUUCCACAAAACUGAUCUACUUUUGAUUAUGCCCAAGAUGAUUUUGCUCUAAGUGGAGACACAUACAAAGUGUCAGAGAUUUUU
rnacentral:lncRNA from 1 species